UAAGAACCCCUUAUAAAAUGAAUAACAUUUGAAUAAUUUCCCAUUUGAAGGAAAAUAGUGUUGCACAGGACUGUCUGUAUACCUGAAAUGGUCUCCAGAGCGCGCUAUUGGAUAUCGACUAACGAGGAAGAAGGGUGACUACGUAAACAAACUGGUCUGUCAGACGUGUGGGUAGCAGAUGGUGCCAAUUGGCUGCAUAAAAAAACUACAUAUAUCUACACUCAAUAAUCUUUCUGAAAAGCCGUAUCCACGCUAGCCGUGAGGGAUGAGCCACCGGUCGGAACGUCGUGGGAUCCAUGUGGACCAGUCAGAGCUGCUGUGUACAAAGGGAUGUGGUUUCUAUGGCAACACGGCCUGGCAGGGCCUCUGCUCCAAGUGCUGGCGGGAGGAGUACCAACAAACCAGACACAAACAGAUCCAGGAGGACCAUGCUCUGGCAGAGAGGUUACAGAAGGAGGAGGAGGCAGCGUAUGCUAACAACCACCAGGGGGCAGCCCAGCCCCAGCCUGCCAUCGCACCCUUCAGCAAGUUUGAAGAGAGAAAAACCAAGGAGAAGUCACGUAAAGUCAACACAAUGACUAAGUUUUUCACUCCCUCAACAAAGACACCGCCCAAGAAAGAAUCCGUCCCUGGCGAGGCCCUGUCGAACCCGAGCCCCUCAGUGAGCCGCAAGCCCUUAGAGACGGACCGCACCACACGAGAGUUCAUCGACUUCCUCAAGACACUGAAACCUGGCAGGGAGAUCUUCAAACAGUGCCGAGCCUUCACAGAGAGCAUGGCCUACAAGAGGGACCUGGGUGCUGAUGAGCUGUCUGAGUGUGUUCAAGACUUCUACCAGAACCUUUCAGAUCGCCUGCACACACACUUCAAAGGGUCGUCGGAGCGCGUAGACAGUGUGAUGGACGAGGUAGAGAGGUACAUGAUGACACGUCUCUAUGAGGAGGUCUUCUGUCCUGAGACCACAGACGAUGAGAAGAAAGACCUGGCCAUUCAAAAGAGAAUCAGGGCCUUGCAUUGGGUCACCAUUGAGAUGCUGUGUGUCCCUGUGGAUGAGGAGAUUCCAGAGGUGUCUGAUAAUGUGGUCAAAGCCAUCACAGACGUGAUCGAGAUGGACUCGAAGCGUGUGCCCAGGGACAAGCUGACCUGCAUCACACGCUGCAGUAAGCACAUCUUCAAUGCCAUCAAUACCACCAAGAAGGAGGCGGCAUCUGCUGAUGACUUCCUGCCCACCCUCAUCUACAUCGUCCUGAAGGCCAACCCUCCGCGACUGCAGUCCAACAUCCAGUACAUCACCCGCUUCUGUAACCCUAGCCGCCUCAUGAGCGGAGAGGACGGAUACUACUUUACCAACCUGUGCUGUGCGGUGGCCUUCAUAGAGAAGCUGGAUGGCCAGUCUCUGAACCUGAGCGUUGAGGAGUUUGAGCUCUAUAUGUCAGGCCAGGCGUCUCCCCAGCGUCCCCAGGCUGCCACCUCCCCCGCCUGUAGUGCUGCUUUCAGCCAGAUGAACGAGAGUCUGGACCUAUUGACGGGGCUGGGCGUGAGGCAGGAACGCGUCAUGGAGGGGGCUCGCCGUCUGGAGAGUGACCUCAUCGACUGGAGGGAUGGGGUAGAGCACAAAGUGCAGGAUGUGAUGGAGAGGUUCCCCCUGGAAAUGCACCCCACCGCUCCCCCACCGCCUCUUCUGCCAUAGAUGCUGACAACGUGGAAAACGACCACCUACCUUCUCCUCUCCAACCCCAGUUGUUUGCUGGCUGACCCCUCCCCCCCUCCCUCUUUGGACUUGUUACUCUCUCUCUCCACCCUGGAAAGUUUCUCCUGUCCUUAUGCACAUAUAGGUUCCUUCUAAUGGAUCCAAGAAAUAUAACUCCAACCCUCCCCAUUGUAUGCACAUUUAAAAUAGAUGCUUGCCGUCGCCUGAACCCCAGUACUCCGAAAUAGCCAACUUUCUCGGUCCGUCUUCCCCACUGAUUGGUAAGAGGACAAGAUGAAUUGCAGGCAUAUUACCUUCAUCCAUGGUCAUGAAUGAAAGGAGAUGAGGAAAGGAAGCUUUAAGAGUAUUGGGGCACAGAUCAUUGAUCUUUCCCUCCUUUGUCCCCUAUAUUACUCCUCCUGACUGAAUCCAAGUCAGAGUACAGAAGCCCAAGCGAGAGGGAUCUGUUGGGGUCACGUGAGUGUAUGUGACCACGACCAUAUUUCCCCUGAAGAUGUCUAUAAAUAAGUAUGUGUGUAUGUAUGUGUGUGUGUGUGUGUGUGUAGUUUCAUUUCCCUGCCAAACCUGUUCAGUCAUGCGCUUAGUUUGAGGAAGUUAUUUUAUUUUUCUAUUGUUCAGGCUAUAGUCUUCUGAGAGGGGAUAAUGAUCUUUAACCUAUUCAAAUGGCUAGAUUGAUACUGUAGCUCAAAGUUUACAUUUAGUCUGUAAGAAAUACGUGAUUUGCAAUUCAGAAUAUAGGAGAUACUAACAGUCACUUCUCUCUUGUUUGGCCUUGUUUGACUGCUGAACAGCUGCUUCUUCAGAAGAACAGAGAAAGGGUGCAUAUUUAGAAUGGUUAUAUCUAAGAAGAGUACUUUUAGUAAGUUCUUUAUAUUAUUUUACAGUGGUGUAUAUUAUUUGUACAAAUGUAUUGGGGGUAAAUGUUGCCAAACAGAAUAGCCAUAACAAUGUUGAUCUCAGCUCCAUGUAGUAACCAUUCAUUCUGGAUCAGGUGGAUAUAUGAAGGAAGAGUAGACAUUGAGUUGAAUGAGUAGUAUCUUUGAUACAACAGAAAGGUCCAUUUACAUACUACCUAAUAUAUUUUCUGUUCUUUUAUCAUGUUUCAUUUUAUUACAUUUCUAACUAUCAGAACAGUGUACAAAUCCUGGUUGCGCAAAAUCCAUUCAAUCCAAUUUAAACACUAACUGAAAUAACUAGGCAUUGGAUAGCACACAGCAAUCAAUGAUCAGGUAUUUUUUAAAGGAAUGUUUAAAAAAAUGUAUACAUCACACACACACACACAUCUGUACAACCUUGUAGGUUUGUUUUUGUAUGUUGAAGGAGUAACUCAACAUUGUAUUGUAUUUUAAUGUAACUUAUUGAGACAGUUUUGUUUUAUAGUGUCCAUGGGUUUGUGUUGAUGAAUAAAAUAACUCAAAAGCU